CAGUGGCGGAGCCAGGAUUUGUGGUCAGGGUGGGCUAAAAUUUUACGAGGGUUCGGAAGUAGAGCCCCCAAAUUUUUUGAAGAGUUUUUUUCGAAAAUAUAGAGCAAAAUAAAUAAAAAUUUGUAUAUUUUAAUUAAGUUAUGUAAAUUAAAUUGUAUAUUGUCCAAAAUAUAAUUAUUGGAGCUCUUUAAAUUAUAUUACAAAUCUCUUGGGUGGGCUAAUUAAAUUUGAUUAGGAUUAAAAUAGUAUAUAAAAGGUUAACUAAACAUAAUUAGUAUUAAAAUAUUACAUAAAAAAAAAAUCAGGGUGGGCUUCAGCCCACCCACAAGUGAACGUGGCUCCGCCACU
rnacentral:lncRNA from 1 species